rnacentral:piRNA from 1 species
CGGGAUUAUCGGAACAAUGAAGGAAG